rnacentral:rRNA from 1 species
UGCAAGUCGAGUGGGUUUAGGCCCACGGCAAACGGGUGAGUAAUAUCUAGGAACGUACCUCUAGUUGAGCAUAACCUACCGAAAGGUAGAGCAAUUCUCAAUGUGACCGCAAGGUUAAAGUCGCAAGACGCUAGAGAAGCGGCCUGGACACCAUCAGCUAGUUGGUAAGGUAAAGGCUUACCAAGGCUUUGACGGUUAGGGGUCCCGAGAGGGAAAACCCCCACACUGGAACUGAGACACGGUCCAG